UACGUAGGGGGCUAGCGUUGUCCGGAAUCAUUGGGCGUAAAGCGCGUGUAGGCGGCCCGGUAAGUCCGCUGUGAAAGUCCAGGGCUCAACCCUGGGAUGCCGGUGGAUACUGUCGGGCUCGAGUCCGGAAGAGGCGAGUGGAAUUCCUGGUGUAGCGGUGAAAUGCGCAGAUAUCAGGAAGAACACCCGUGGCUAAGGCGGCUCUCUGGGACGGUACUGACGCUGAGACGCGAAAGCGUGGGGAGCGAACAGG
rnacentral:rRNA from 1 species